CGGGUGCAGCAGGCGCGAAACCUCCGCAAUACACGAAAGUGUGACGGGGUUACCCAAAGUGUUCAAUAGAACUGUGGUAGGUGAGUAAUGUUCCCUACUAGAAAGGAGAGGGCAAGGCUGGUGCCAGCCGCCGCGGUAAAACCAGCUCUUCAAGUGGUCGGGAUAAUUAUUGGGCUUAAAGUGUCCGUAGCCGGUUUAGUAAGUUCCUGGUAAAAUCGGGUAGCUUAACUAUCUAUAUGCUAGGAAUACUACUAUACUAGAGGGCGGGAGAGGUCUGAGGUACUACAGGGGUAGGGGUGAAAUCUUAUAAUCCUUGUUGGACCACCAGUGGCGAAGGCGUCAGACUGGAACGCGCCUGACGGUAAGGGACGAAAGCCAGGGGAGCGAACCGGAUUAGAUACCCGGGUAGUCCUGGCCGUAAACGAUGCAUACUAGGUGAUGGCACGGCCAUGAGCCGUGUCAGUGCCGUAGGGAAACCGUUAAGUGUGCCGCCUGGGAAGUACGGUCGCAAGGCUAAAACUUAAAGGAAUUGGCGGGGGAGCACCACAAGGGGUGAAGCCUGCGGUUCAAUUGGACUCAACGCCGGANAACUUACCAGGG
rnacentral:rRNA from 1 species